rnacentral:tRNA from 3 species
GCCUGGUUAACAUAAAAGUAAUGUAUCCCUCUUGUAAAGGGAAUAAGUAAGUGCGAUACUUGCACUGGGCU